rnacentral:rRNA from 1 species
CGGGACGGGGUGGAGUAAUGUCUGGGGAAACUGCCUGAUGGAGGGGGGUAACUACUGGAAACGGUAGCUAAUACCGCAUAACGUCGCAAGACCAAAGAGGGGGACCUUCGGGCCUCUUGCCAUCGGAUGUGCCCAGAUGGGAUUAGCUAGUAGGUGGGGUAACGGCUCACCUAGGCGACGAUCCCUAGCUGGUCUGAGAGGAUGACCAGCCACACUGGAACUGAGACACGGUCCAG